UGAUUACGAGUUGGUUACUUAAAAUGGUCGUUCAUUGCUUCUACUCAGCUAUCCCGAAAUACACAUGCACUUGAUCUAUUGAAAAUUUGGCUCAAGAGACCUACUCAGUGCAGCCCAUAUCAGACUGGGAAAAAAUAAAUGCCAUUUUUGUACUUUGUCUUAAAGGUUGGCUGUGGGUAAUAAAAAACAUGCAGUAAAUAUUUCUUUCUCCCUGAACUAUUUGUGGCAGAAAUAUCUUUGCUAAGGGAAGGUUGUAAUCUUUUACUUGUUUGGGAAUUUCCUGGAAGAGAUGGCAUAACCAUGAAACUAAUUUGCUUGCUACCAUACUCGUCACAUAGACACUGAAGUUAGAGUGGAAUAGUUUAUUCCACUCUGCUGUUAAGGAAUAACAAUAGUCUUUGCAUUGAUAAGAUAACCCCACAAAUGUGAUGUUGUGUACAGCCACUGAAGAGCAUGUGGUCCCCGAAUGAAUGAAAACCAAUAAGGAAGUAAGAGGAGAGUACGCUGAGCUGAUACAAUGGGGGUGGGGUGAGGGUGGGGUGGGCAGAGAGGAGGAGGAGGAGGAAGACAUACAACCUGCAAAACUGCUUUGUCACUGCAUGUGACAACACAACACAGGUUGUGAGAAUUAAAAAAGUUAGCAGAUCCAAUCCAGGCAGGUGUCCAGAAAAGAAAAUAAAUAGUUCAGGAAAAAAAAGAAAUAGUUUUGGAUUGUCUGGUGUAAUUCAGUAUUAUUUUGUGACUUCUAUUGCCAUUGUUGUCAUAAUUGUUUACACUGAAUGAUGUUCUUCCUUCCAGGUGUUGACACUAAGUAAUACAUUUGCUGCACCUGUAGAUUAGAUCAUGUGACCUAUUCAUUGUUGUCCUGUCUUUGGGUAUUUAUGGGCUGUCCUCUCAUAUCUCAUUGUCUCAUGAAGACCAUUGUGAUGCGAAACAUCCCCUUUUGGUGAGAACUUUAAUGAGGUACUUCAAGGGAGGAGCAGUGCGCAAGAUUUCGUUUAUUUUCUAACACAAUACAGGUUUACAGUGUUCAUCCCAAACACUGUUUAACUCACUAUGGAGAAUCUCUGAUACAGGCUGCUGUGUGCCAGUACAGAGUUGGAGGGCCAUGCUUUGCUCUGGUUUUCCCACAGCCUGGUCUUAGUCAUCACAAACUCAAAGGAAAAUCUGAUAGAGCAAGAAUCUUUCUCCAGUGAAGCAGACCACAGGCCUUUUUUGUUAGGCCCAAAGAUGAUCUUGGAUCAAGAAGGCAAAAGCAUGUACAUCAUGCUCCAUAAUCUUCAUCACUGGUCGGUGCGUUUUCAUGAAUAAUAACGGAGUGGUAUGCUGGAAACACCGACCUACCCACGACUGUGAAAACCGUAGUAGCUGCGCCGCAUAUAGCCUUCUGUCGUUCAAACCACCAUAGCUCCAACAACGUUGUUAAUAUUCAUGACCACCUGCCAUGGCCUAACAGCUACCUGCACACGUGCAGUGGCUUCAAGGUAGGAGGAUGCUUUUCUCGAAAGCGUCGUCACCGGGGUUCAAGGGUUCAUUCAAGAUGAAUGAAUAUUCAUUUCAAAUUGUAUGAUAAGUGAAAUUCUCUGUUGGCGGGUGUUCAGGUAGGUAGGGAGAGGGUCAAUCUUGUCAAACUAGCUCAAUUCAAAUGUUGUCAACAGCAGAUAUCCAGGAACGAUGCUUACAAUGACUGGUCUCGAGUUCCAACCACCCAACUUUGUGACCAUGUUUGCGAAUAAUCGUUGGAACUGGAAGCUUUUGGGAAAAACACCAAAUCACUGAAUGACUGUUGCAACGACCAAGAUUGCGAUGGUGGUUAGAAAACAACGCUUUCUAGAAACACACCCCAGAUCCAUUGUGUUGUGGAUUUGUAUGGGACAUGCUGUAGAUAUGUGGGGUGAAUAGGCUUUAAAGCUUAGUUGGCACACAGUAUCCCAGAAUGUAAUCACACAUCCUCUCACUUUGACUUGGAUGCCCUGCUCUCUCAAACUGUCUGUCUUUUCAUCUCACUUUCAUUGUUCUUUGUUUUUUCUCUUUCUCUUUUCCUCUUAGUCAUUUGCUGUUUACAGUUCGGUGCUAAUCUAAUUUCUCAUAGAGUCCUGAACUUCCUCCUCUGAAGAGGUCAGUGAUGUAUGAUUCAGGCACUACUAGUAUCCUUGGUCAAUGGAUGAAUCAUUUAAUUGAAAACUGGUUUAAAAGGAAUCAUAAGGCAAACACAAGUCUGCCUAACAGACCAAUUCUGUCUUGCUUUAAGGAUAGAGAUCAAGCUAACGCAUUGUCAAACCAUCAGCCACUCUGCCCUGAGGGCAGUUAACAGUCGCACAAUCUGAUGGUAUGGAACGCCCAUUAUGGUUAUCACAGAAAUCAGAUGUUGUUGCAUAGCUAACUACUUGCCAAAAUGAAUACUUGCAUGGACAUUUAACAUGCUACAUGGUUGUAGCUUUGAAUUGCUGUGAAAAGUGGGAUCCGUGCCUAUCUAUUUCUCCCAUGCCCAUCUAUUUCUCCCAUGCCCUUAACUGCACUCUAGCUGGAAUAUGAUGUGAGGGUGUUGGGUAGGAAUGUGACAGGACUUUUUCUCCUCAUACUAGCUGUGGGAAAAGUAUCAACACACUGAUUCAUUUACCUUUGUGAGUUGUUAUGGAAACCAUGGGGGCAGUAGACCAUGCAAGGUCAUGCCUGAGGGUAACUGAUCAGCUCGGGGGUGCACAAGGUUUCUUGUCAGUCUCUUUUAAGAUGUCUAUUAAAGCAGUGAUGCACAGUAUUCACUUGGGUGUGCAUAUACAAGUAGGUUCAACACACUCUCAAAUAACCUCUACCAAGACGGGGAGACAGACUAUUUAUUGUGGCCAGAUCGGAACAGCACA